CUGGCUCAGGACGAACGCUGGCGGCGUGCUUAACACAUGCAAGUCGAACGAUGAAGCCCAG
rnacentral:rRNA from 1 species